UGUCUUUGAAUAACAGUUCACCAUGUCUGUACUUUAUUCAAGACUCCAAUAGUCCAACCUGAACCCCAUAUCUGGCUUUUGGAAUGAUGGAGAAGCAGAACAACACUUGCACAAGCAGGAGGCUAAUCUGGCGCAGUGCAAGUUGCACAUCCGGUAACCCGUACCCACAUAGUACGGAUUAAAUAAAAAAUAAGCUACAGGGGCACAUUAAAAUUAAAAAAAAAAAUGUAGCAUUUAGUACACAUAGUAAGAGUACAAUCCAACAUUUAAUAUCUCAGUUAGCUUUCUCAACGGCGGUGAUAGAAGAACCGCUAGCCGUGACAGAAUCGUAGCGCUGAAACAUGUGAGUCACGAAUAGGACAGCGGUCAUGGUGACAUAGUCCUUGGCCGCGCACUGCUUGUUCCUGUCGCUGGGUGAACCGGUCUGGGGCCCGUUCGACCAGAAGAGAUAAUUCAGUAACUCCCGCCCCUUCUCUUUCGUAAACCGGUCCGGUACGAAAGUUUCCGGGUCGUCGAAGAUCUUCGGGUCUGUCAUCGCCACCUUCUGGAACCCGCAAAGCAGAUCUCCCUUCUUUAUCUCAAAAACUGAGUCGUGUGAACUCAGUUGAAAGUCCUUUCUGGCUCGAGCGUAUUGGAGUGGGACGGGCGGGUUGAGGCGGAGAGUUUCGUACACGACGGAGUGGACUAGUUCCAAGUCUUUAACCGAUUCAAAGGUUAGAUUUGUUCCCGGCUUGAUCUUUGAUCUGACCUCUUCUCUCAGUUUGGCCUGUAACUCCGGUUUGCCGCUAAGAGCGCUGAGGAGAGAUGGGAAGAAGAUGGUGAAGCCACCGAAGGCGUUGAAGCCGAGGACGAAGAGGAGGUUGUGGAUGGUUUCUUCUUUGGAGAGGUUGAACUCGGUUUCGCCUCUUUGAAGCACGGCUUGGCCGUGUUGUUCGACGAAGUCGUAGAGUUUUCUGUAGUCUCCUUUGACGAGGAAGAAUGGGUAAGCGAAAGAGUGGAGGAAGAUCUCUUCGAGUGGUUGCAGGAAGUUGACGCUGAUGGUGGGGAGGAGCUGGAGGAAAACCCAUUUGUCGAGCAUGACGUAGCCAGACUCCGCAAUUUCCGGCGACACAGCGGGAUCCGCGCCAACAAGGCAUUUAGUUAGGAAAUGGAAGAUGAAGCGCUGGAGAGGCUUGAUGUAACUGGCGCUGUUGCUCUUGGCGACGCCGGCGUCGAUGGUGUCCCACAUGGUGUCCAGGCUGGCCACGACCUCGCUUGCCCAGAUGCUGGAACUCCGUUUCAGAAUGUCCAUGGCAAAGCUCUUUACCUGCCGGAGAUUCCAUAAUUGUUGAUGUGAUUUUUCUACAAUUUUUAUUGAUUUAUUUUAAAGGGUAAUUCAUGAAAUUUAAUCUAUGAAUGCAAGACAUAGAAUAAGAUAAAAUUUGUUGCCCCUAUCCCAUGGUCAUGGUGAUGAGUUGCGAGAUAUUUUUGACUUCGAGAUUGUGGGGAACGCAACGUUCUAUUUACAGAGUGUCCUCUAGACCACUCUUGGGCCUAUAUUCGACCUAUAUUCGAAAACGUUAAAUGAAAAUUAUUAUAUUUUUAUUAAGAAAUAAAACAAAAAAAUCCACUUGUGAUUUGUUUUUAAUAUUUAAAAAAUAUUAAAUAUUUAUAAUCAAGAAAAAUAAAAAUAAAAAAUUAGAAAAGCACAUCCUAGUCCCUUAAUAAUUUAAUAUAUAUAUUAAAAAAUUAUUUAAAAUCAAUUCAUUAUUUUAUAUACUACUCCGUUUCAUUGAUUUUAUGUUUUCUGUAAAAAUAAAAUGAUUUGAAAAUUUGUAAGUUAUAGAAAGACAAUAAAAUAAUUUUUUUUAGUAUUUUUUUUAUUAUGUUUAGUUUUUAAAAAAUUUGAAAGAAAAUACGAAAUAAAGAAAUUAAAGAAAAAAAUUAAAAAAAUAUGAAAUAAAUUUAAAUUUAAUAAAUUAUUUUAUUCUAUUUAUUUUUUUUAUAUUAUAACAAGAUUAAAUAAUCUUAAAAUAAAAAAAAAUUAAAUUUAUUUUAUUUUAUAUUUUUUUAAAUAAAACCAAAUCUGACCAACCAUCCAAACAUAUUUAAUAUUUUUUGAAAUCAAAUAUAAGAUAAAAAUAAAAAAAUAAAAAAAUAAAAUAUAUUUAAAAUUAAUCAAUUAUUUUUAUAUAUUAUAUGAAAAAAAAUUCCCACAAAAACCUUAUAAAUGUUCGUUUUCCAUCGCAACUACUGUUUCAACAUUAGUGGUUUAGAUUUUUCAACACACAAAUUUAUAAAUAUUUCUUCCUCCAUAAAUGAAGGUACGACUAUCAGAUCUAAAGCAGUGUCACUCGACAUAGAUAUGCUGACUCACUGAGUCGAUGACUGAACUGGACUCAGUGAGUUUGGAAGAUCAGAACGAGGCAACGGAAUCUUACCCUGGCGUGUUGGGUCUCGGCGGUGUCGAGAUAGGCACAGACUCGAAUGUCGCCGGUGUACUUGACGCUGGGCAUGAAGUCGCCGACGAGGACAUUCUUCUUCUCGACAACAUCCAUAUCAAAGAGAAAGGAGAAGGAUUUGCAAUCGAGGACGGCGAUUACGUUAGGAUUGACACCGACGAAGAAGGGGAACGACGGAGGGACGUUGGUACGGAACACGGUGCUCUUGUACUUGUCGAUCCUCUUCCGGAAGAACGUCUCCGGGCCCUGGAACCAGAAGUAGUCGAGGCGGUCGGCGAUCGGGCCGAGCACAGGCCAGCCGUAGCUGCCAGGAAUCGCGCGAACGGGGGAGGACGAGGGAGGAGACGGUGGAGUUAGAGACGA
rnacentral:lncRNA from 1 species